rnacentral:lncRNA from 1 species
GGCUGAAGCUCCACCGCCCUCCCGUCACUGCCCAGCCCACCGGCCUCCCGGGGGGAGUCCUGAGGCCCAGGGCCAGCUCAGGACAAGUCAGUGACCAAGGUGGGAAGGGAGCACCCCUCCCCGGGGCUGUCCUGACUUGCAUGCCGGAGCUCUCUCUAGCCACUCUCCGUAUUGGUGCUGGUAAGGAAAUCAGUGUCCCCGCACAGAGAACCCCAGCGCCCGGCAGGCCGCCCGCCCUGCCUUCCUGCUGCCCAGCUCUUGGCUGACUCUGCCCUCUCCCGGGUCUGGAAGAGUACCUGCUAGGGCCUGACCACAGCUGGUCCCCACCACAGCUCGUGAUGAAAUCUGAUUGCCACCGUGGGCGGUUGGGAGGUGGCUGGGUGGGCAGCGGGUUAGCGCUGCUCCAUUCCCGCCACAGUGCGCCCACACCUCAUGUUUCCCUUUCCCAUGAGGUCACCGGGGCUGGUUCAGCCAAUGGUUAGCAAAGUGAGUGCAAGAGGGAACGAGCUGGGAGGCCAGCAGGUGUUAGCGCCACAAGAGCAGUCGCAUCGAAACCCCGAGCUGGUCGAUACAAAGACAGAAAAAGCAGCCCCGGAGCCCCAGAGCUGCAAGCCAGGAAGGAAGACUGACAGAUCUCAGGUCCCGGAGCAAAUGCUCAGAGCCGCACUGUGGUAUUUGCUGGGGGGACCUGGGCUUGAGCCUCCACUCCCGAGUGCAGCAGAUCCUGGGAGGCAGCAGCGAUGGCCCACGGAGCUGGGUCCCCGCGGCCCACAUGGGAUACCUGGACUGAGUCCCUACCCCCCAGCCGCCAGCUUUGCCUCUCUCUCUCCACCAAUGCAGCAGCUGCAGGGAUUCGGGGGAGGGAACCAACGGCUGGCAGCUUUCUCCGUCCCUCAAAUAAAAAAAUAAAUGAUUUGCCAUGUGUAGGGUUGGUUUGUUUCGCUUCAUGGUCCAGGGGAUAGAGUGAAGGCCUGGGUGAAAAAAGCUGCCAAGGUCAAGGGCAAGGUUAGCAAAGGAAACGGUCAGCCUAAAACCAGAGUGGACAGGUACCAGGCAGGAAGGGGGCAAAGCAAGGCAAUGUCCCUCCCCCCUGCCUCGCUCUCUCCCUCUUCCCCCCUCCCCACUUCCUCCUCCCUCCC